rnacentral:misc_RNA from 1 species
GUAUUAAUUGCGUGUUAUCGCAAGAGACAUUCUACACUGUAUCGAGUUUGUGUGAAAACGUGAGCCCCCGAAAGGGGACCCACGCGGUGGUGCACAUAGGGGUGAGAUGGAUGUUUGAGAACGCUCGGGCGUGCACGACGAAAAAGUCAGCGACAGCCCUCGCGCCUCGGUUUUACGAUAAUGAUCCUUCCGCAGGUUCACCUACGGAAA